ensembl:lncRNA
UUUUUUUUUCCUUUUUUUGAGUGUGUUUUUGGUGUCCUAUCCAAAAAAAAUCAUUGCAAAAAUCAAUGUCAGGGAGCUUUUUCUCUACGUUUCCUUCUGUGAGUUUUAUGGUUUCAGGUCUUACAUUUAGGUCUUUAAUUCAUUUUGAGUUAAUUUUUCUGUGUGGAAUUAGAUAAGGGUCCAUUUCAUUUUGGGGGGAUCUGGAUAACCAGUUUCCCCAACACCAUUUAUUGAACAGACUAUCCUUUUCCCAUUGUGUAAAAUCUAAAUUGUUUAAAAAGCAAAAACUAGCUCAGAAAUUAGAUUGAUGGUUCCAAAAACAACAUCCUCAUCUAAGGUCACUAGCACCUUUUAUUCAACAAAUAAUUCAUUCAACAAAUAUUUAUUGAGACCCUCCUCCUACCUGUCAAGACAUUAUUCUAGGCAUUUUGGAUCAGUGAACAAAACCAAGUAAGAAAAAAUUCUAUCUUUAUGGAGUCGAAAUCCUAGUCAAGGGACACAAAAUAUGAAAAAUAAUAAUCAAAUAAAAAAGAAAAUAAUAAUUAUAUGCUAAAAGGUGAUAAAUACUAAGAAAAAUAUAGAACAGAGUAAGAGAGACAGAAGUUCUGGACAAGGGUGGGAAGAAGCAAGAUGGGUGUGAUGGAGUGGUUUUCCGGACUUGAAGUGUUCUGCCUUAAAUUGAAGGUCAAGGUAGGUGAUUCUGAGAAGAUACUCAGGAGGGAGGAAAUCAGCCAUGCUGACAUCUACAGAAAAAGCAUUCCAAGCAGAGGAAAGAGCUGGAGCAGAAUAUCCAUGCAAACAGGCUCCCAGCAUGUUCCAGGUACCACAAAGGGGCUGCAGACACUGAGCAGAAGGAACUGAAGGAGGAUGGGGAGUAUAAGGUGAGGUCAGGUUGGUAAAAGGAUUUUACCCAUAAAUUUUCUCUAAACUGCAAUGAAGAGAUAAUCCUUCCAACCAGUUUCAAAGAACAGAAAAAGGUUAAGAAAAAUACCCAACUUCUUUUAUGAGACUGAUUUAAUCUUGACACCAAAAUUAGAUAAGUAGAGAACUAGAUAAUUAUAGCCCUAUCACACUUAUGAACAUAGAUGGAAAAAUCCUAAUACAAUAUUGGCAAAUCAAAUCUAGCAACGUGUCUAGAUUUAAUCUUGCCCAAGGAAAGAUUUUCUUAAGGAUGUAAGGCUGGUACAACAUCAGAAGAAAAUAUAUCCCUGCAUAUAAUAUUAGUAAGUUAAAGAAUAAAAAAUGUAAGUAGUCAUCUUAGCUGACUACUUUCAGUAGUCAGGUGGAAGUGGUACACGCACUGAACGAUGUGGACCUCCCCACAACUUGGCUAGAAUGGCUCCUGCCCAGCUGAAUUCCCACAUGUAUAAGCAGUAGUGAUAAACACACCUAUAGAUACUAGCAGCCAGUGAGGGGCAGGCCAAUUACAUGGCACCCUCUCAUCAUGGAAGUGAAGAGUAGCAAUUUGUCUUUCCUCACAUAGGAUUUGCUAAUUCUGGGAUACAUUUGCUUUCCCUGCCCAAUCAGCUCCUCCCCACAGAACACAUGGGAUCUCACUGAAUGUCAUGGGAUGCUGGGGUGAGCUGACUGAGGCCUUAAAGAGUGAGAUGGGCCACUGCAUGCUCAUUUCCAUCACCAAUUGAAAAGCAACAUCUUGUGAAACUGUCCCUCUCUCCCAGAAGAUGUACAGUGCUGCUUCUCCCAAGGCUGGAAUAUAGGUGCCUGAGAACCAGGGGUGGAAACUGAAGUGAUACCUCCCAUUUCUGCACAUUAGCAAUCAGGCACACAUUUUCUGCUUUUCAUUCAAUGAUUCUAGGAGUUGCAGUUUUAGAGAACUUAGUACCUAAGGGAGCAAGACUUUUGCCAGGGGCACAAUGAUUUUUCUAGGGCAGUAGAAGUCAACAGGUCAACCUACCAAUUUAUAUCCUCAUGUCAUUGAAUAAAAAAGGAACAAAGAAGUGCUGACUGGGUUAAGUAAUGAUGAUUCUCAGGGUAAAAUAAAGUCGUUGCUCAUGGUAGUUCUCACAUAAGGCCAUUCCCAAAUACAGUUCUCCUCCUCCCAGGCACAUGGUAGACUGCAUAUCCCUACAUCUAUGAUUUAGACAUAGCUUUGUUGGUUUAGUGACCUGUCCAAAGCCACUGAAAUCCAAGUAGAAGUAUCAAGCUAUAUUAAAUUAUUUGCCCUGCUCUUUUUCAUGCCUAGUCCGUCACAGACAUUUGUGUCAAGCUGAAGCCUCUAUCAGCCCUGGUCCCUGAGAGACCAUGAUGAACAGAGCCCCCUGCUCUCUCAGCCUGGGCAUAUAGCAUGAUCCACAAAUAAAUUUUCUUGGUAUGACUGUUUCUAUGGCCUAUUUUUCAAAAAUGGGAGCAGGGAAACAAUGGAAGCAAAGGGGAGAACAUAUGCAACCCAGGAGAUAAACCCGCCCUUCUCAUGAGUAAAAAAAAGAGGAGGCUAUGGCAAUAUGAUCUAGAUAAGACUGCCAAGGACUCAGAACUCUAAGAAUGAAGAGUUCAAUUAAUCUAACUGGUAAAGAACUCACACCAAGCACGAUGCUGGCUGAGGGCAAAUGGACUGAGUAGUAGAGAACAGGAGUCACACAGCCUCAAUGCAGAUGCAGAAGCCAGGUCCUCUCUCUAACCUUGUUUCCUUUAUUACUGUGCUAAACACAUGGUUGACAUAGUAUGUGACAGUGAAGCCUAUAAUUUAGUCCAUGUAUAAAAAAUAUCAAGACAGUAUUAUGUUUGAACCAAAGAUGAUGUAUAUUCCCCAGAAAUCUUGAACUUUGAGCAGGAUACACUAACUGAUAAGAUUUUGGGGAAAAGACGACUGUGGCUUCUCCUUCUAGGAGGGAUACCUGCAACAUGUUAAGGAGGAAUAUUUCAUCAUGCUUAUUUUUGAUGCUGCUUGGAAAUUGAAAUAUGAAGAGGGCUUUGUUAUGAAGUUAUAUCAGCCCAGGGGCAUGAUUUAGUAGAGAUUUACGUUUGUGGCUAGUAUGUGUAUAUCGUGUAUUUAUUAAUAUUCUUCUAAUAUUUGGAAAAUUCCUACAUUAAGAAUCCUGCAUGUUCAAAAUAGAAGCGAGAUCCCAAAUUUCCAACCUCCUUUCAGGUAUCUGGCUUGAAUACAUAGUGAAGAGUUUGCAGUUCAAUCAUCAAUAUCACUGCAAUACAACAAAACUGUAUUUUCUGGGGUGAGGAAGUGAUAUGUUCACUGGAGUGGCCUCCGUGAUGUGGAAGACCCAUUGUUAGCGAUGGCAGACCAUCCAAAUCUAAUUAUCUGGCUUUCUAGGACACCAGUGAAGUGCUUAAUAUUCUGCUUAACCUAACUGGAGUCAAUCCUAUUGUUUGUAAAUAAGAACAUUCAACUGCACAAGAUGCACAGACAUUGUACAUAAAAGGAAACCAGAAUAUCCAAUAUACACGUUGUAAGAUGCUCACCUUCACUAGUAGUGAGAGAAAUGGAACUUAAAAUAACCAUGAUAUAUCAUUUCACACAUAGCAGUAGAUUGAAAUGUUGGAUAAUUCCAAGCGUUGGUAAGAACAGCAAGUUUCAUAACUUACUCAUCUGAACACAAAUGGUGUAAGCACUUUGGAGAAAAGUUUUGGCAACACCCAGUAAAGUUGAAGAUGAAUUCCACUUCUAGAUACAGACACUCUAAAAAAAUUCUCACACAUAUUCCCAGUGGGCAAGUACAAGUAGCUUCCACUCAUCAAUGCAUUAUUUCCAUAAGAGGGAAAAAUGUUAAGAUAAUGGGUAAACAGUGUUACAUUUAAUGGCAUUCUAAAAUUAAUGAAUGAUAUACAAAAGAUAUACAUAAAACCCUGAAACCGUAUUUUGAGUUAAAAGACUUACAUUGGUGAUUAUAUGAUUCUGUAGAUAUGAAACCACAAUUAAAUCUUUAGGUUUGAUUCAUAUGUACAAAUAUUAUUACAAUAGAAUGGGAAAGAUUUAAAUGAAAUUCAAUGUAACAUGUAAAAUAUAAAUUUUUAUGUGGGGUAUCUAUAUGGAAGUUGGCCAUAGAUCUUUACUUUUCUGUAUGUUAGAUAUACUCUGAUGUAUUUACUAUUUAGUAAAAAGAAACUAAUACGCUGUUUUUGGAAUGCCUUCAUAUUGCUAACAAAUGCCUUUCACUUUGUGAUUAACAUUAUGGAUUCUUUAUUAAUCUAAAAAAAUACUAGAAUUUGAGAUUCAUAGAUUUCGUCUGAAUAAGACAAUAUUUUUAUUUGAAAACUUACAAAUGCAACCCUUUUUAGAUGAGUGUUUUGCAACCGACCAAAGUGUGGAAAAUUAAGUGCCUUAGCCUGAGCACUUAUCUGUGUAUUAGAUGAUCAGGAGGGUCACUCAAAUGUGGGAAUUUUAGAUACAAUCAAUAUCCCAGUAGGGUACCUAACCUGGAGCUUUGUAAUAUAAGGAUUUAUUUUAAAUCACAAACAAACAUUACGAAUAAAAACUGAAUAACUCCAACCAACUUUAAAUCACUGAAUUAAUCGUAUUCCUUUUAUUCUGAAAACAGCUGCGGUAUUGCUGAGGAAAAAAUAAAUAAACAUUGCACUCACAAUGAGGAAACCCACAAUCGAGUUGUGUGAUUUAGGUCAGGUUAACCUUUUUGAUCAUCAGUGUAGUUACCUAAUUUGAGGAGGUAAUGAUACCACAGGGAUACUCCAAAAUGAAGCCUGUGAUAAGGAUGUAAAUAUCUGUAAAUACAGCAAAAACAAUUAACAUUUACUGAUUGAUCAUCAUGUGGUUAAUGUUUUACGUGAAUUUCUUCACUUUAUCCUCAAGACUUUUUUUUUUUUUUUUUUUUUUUAACAGAAAUGGCAUUGGUACACACAAUACCCCAUUUCACAGAUGGGUUAGCUAAGAAAGGAAGUCCUUUGCCCAUGUUUCCAGAAUUUGGUGGUUGAUGAGGAUGCUCAGGAACCCAAGAACAGGUUGUAUAUUUGCACAGUGUAGGGCGUUAUAAGAUAACAAGGGCUGCUAAACAACCAUGUCUCCUUUGAUAGUUUCCAUUCGGAGUCCUUCUUGCCUUGAUGUCUUUGUUGUUUCAUGAUGGGUUUAGUUCACUUCACGCAUCAGUUCAGAGCCAUAAGCAGCUAGGAGCAGAUUCUGAGCUUCGGUGCUCAUUUCUGGGUUUCUCAUCAUCAGCAGUCUUACAUGGUUUCUUCCUGCAUUUCUCCCUUUCCCUUUUUCUUUUGUACUGAAGACUCAGGGCACUUUUCUCCCCUCCUUAUCCUCAGUGGAUUUUUUGUCUUCUUAUUUCAUUCAUGGUGUAAUAACUAUGCUUUCCCUAAGGAAACUGGGAAAUUUCUAAAGAAAAGCCAACUUUCUCACAGUAUCACCAGAAAGAUCAUACUCCCAAGAGCAUCCAUCUCUUGCAUUCUCUCAUUCUUGGGAACAGGUACCAGCAAGUCACUUCAUUUUCAAGUCCAGCUAUGGCUUUAUCAUGGGGACCAAAGACUCCACAAUAAAUACCAGCAGCAUGACUUAUGAUUCCUUCUAAACCAAACUGUUACAGCACACAGAUAGUUGAACAUGGCAGAGAAGGGGGGCAUAGCGCCAGACGGCAGGAAAGAAACCACAUAUCAUGCAAACAGCAGGGUCCAUGGGUGGACAAAGAAAAGCCAGAACUUCCA